UACGUAGGGUGCAAGCGUUGUCCGGAAUCAUUGGGCGUAAAGCGCGCGUAGGUGGCUUCUUAAGUCCGUUGUGAAAGUCAAAGGCUCAACCUUUGAAUGCCGAUGGAUACUGCGAAGCUAGAGUACGGAAGAGGCGAGUGGAAUUCCUGGUGUAGCGGUGGAAUGCGCAGAUAUCAGGAGGAACACCAAUAGCGAAGGCAGCUCGCUGGGACGUUACUGACACUAAGGCGCGAAAGCGUGGGGAGCGAACAGG
rnacentral:rRNA from 1 species